AUCCGACUGAUGAGUCUCAAAUAGGACGAAAUGCGCGUCCUGGAU
rnacentral:hammerhead_ribozyme from 1 species